CCUACGGGGGGCUGCAGUGGGGAAUAUUGGACAAUGGGGGGAACCCUGAUCCAGCCAUGCCGCGUGUGUGAAGAAGGCCCUCGGGUUGUAAAGCACUUUCAGUGAGGAAGAACGCCUGGUGGUUAAUACCCAUCAGGAAAGACAUCACUCACAGAAGAAGCACCGGCUAACUCCGUGCCAGCAGCCGCGGUAAUACGGAGGGUGCGAGCGUUAAUCGGAAUUACUGGGCGUAAAGCGCGCGUAGGUGGCUUGAUAAGCCGGUUGUGAAAGCCCCGGGCUCAACCUGGGAACGGCAUCCGGAACUGUCAAGCUAGAGUGCAGGAGAGGAAGGUAGAAUUCCCGGUGUAGCGGUGAAAUGCGUAGAGAUCGGGAGGAAUACCAGUGGCGAAGGCGGCCAUCUGGACUGACACUGACACUGAGGUGCGAAAGCGUGGGUAGCAAACAGGAUUAGAUACCCUGGUAGUC
rnacentral:rRNA from 1 species